rnacentral:rRNA from 1 species
GACGAACGCUGGCGGCGUGCCUAAUACAUGCAAGUCGAACGCUUCUUUCCUCCCGAGUGCUUGCACUCAAUUGGAAAGAGGAGUGGCGGACGGGUGAGUAACACGUGGGUAACCUACCCAUCAGAGGGGGAUAACACUUGGAAACAGGUGCUAAUACCGCAUAACAGUUUAUGCCGCAUGGCAUAAGAGUGAAAGGCGCUUUCGGGGGUCGCUGAGGGAUGGACCCGCGGUGCAUUAGCUAGUUGGUGAGGUAACGGUUCACCAAGGCCACGAUGCAUAGCCGACCUGAGAGGGUGAUCGGCCACACUGGGACUGAGACACGGCCCAGACUCCUACGGGAGGCAGCAGUAGGGAAUCUUCGGCAAUGGACGAAAGUCUGACCGAGCAACGCCGCGUGAGUGAAGAAGGUUUUCGGAUCGUAAAACUCUGUUGUUAGAGAAGAACAAGGACGUUAGUAACUGAACGUCCCCUGACGGUAUCUAACCAGAAAGACACGGCUAACUACGUG